AUUGAACGCUGGCGGCAGGCCUAACACAUGCAAGUCGAGCGGAGCGGCGGACGGGUGAGUAAUGCCUAUGAAUCUGACUGGCCGUGGGGGAUAACGACCGCAAACGGGCGCUAAUACCGCUUACUAUCAGAUGAGCCUAGGUCGGUUUAGCUAGUUGGUGGGGUAAAGGCCUACCAAGGCGACGAUCCGUAACUGGUCUGAGAGGAUGAUCAGUCACACUGGAACUGAGACACGGUCCAGACUCCUACGGGAGGCAGCAGUGGGGAAUAUUGGACAAUGGGCGAAAGCCUGAUGCAGCCAUGCCGCGUGUAUGAAGAAGGUCUUCGGGUUGUAAAGCACUUUAAGUUGGGAGGCGUUACCAACAGAAGAAGCACCGGCUAACUUCGUGCCAGCAGCCGCGGUAAUUC
rnacentral:rRNA from 1 species